rnacentral:rRNA from 1 species
UACGAAGGGGGCUAGCGUUGUUCGGAAUUACUGGGCGUAAAGCGCGCGCAGGCGGCUAUCCAAGUCAGUGGUGAAAGCCCGGAGCUCAACUCCGGAACUGCCAUUGAAACUGUUUAGCUUGAGGAUGAGAGAGGUGAGUGGAAUUCCCAGUGUAGAGGUGAAAUUCGUAGAUAUUGGGAAGAACACCGGUGGCGAAGGCGGCUCACUGGCACAUUACUGACGCUGAUGCACGAAAGCUAGGGGAGCAAACAGG